rnacentral:pre_miRNA from 8 species
AUUCAGAAAUGGUGUACAGGAAAAUGACCUAUGAAUUGACAGACAACGUGACUAAGUCUGUCUGUCAUUUCUGUAGGCCAAUGUUCUGUAUAUCUCUGCGACUUC